rnacentral:rRNA from 1 species
AAUCAACGCUGGCGGCGUGCCUCAGACAUGCAAGUCGAACGCGAAAUUUCCCUUCGGGGAGAAAGUAGAGUGGCGCACGGGUGAGUAACACGUAGGUAAUUUGCCUUUGGGUGGGGAAUAACUCAGGGAAACUUGAGCUAAUACCGCAUAAUGCAGCGGCUCGACAUCGAGACAGUUGUUAAAGCGGGGGAUCGCAAGACCUCGCGCCUGAAGAGAAGCCUGCGGCAGAUUAGCUAGUUGGUAGGGUAAUGGCCUACCAAGGCAACGAUCUGUAACCGGCCUGAGAGGGCGGUCGGUCACACUGACACUGACAUACGGGUCAGACUCCUACGGGAGGCAGCAGUCGGGAAUUUUGGGCAAUGGGCGAAAGCCUGACCCAGCAACGCCGCGUGAAGGAUGAAAUCCCUCGGAUGUAAACUUCGCAAGAACGGAAGAAUAAGUAGAAGAUAAUACUU